rnacentral:rRNA from 1 species
CGAAUUCUCUCUUGAGUGGAUCCUGAGUACGACGGAGCACGUGAAAUUCCGUCGGAAUCUGGGAGGACCAUCUCCUAAGGCUAAAUACUCUCUAGUGACCGAUAGUGAACCAGUACCGUGAGGGAAAGGUGAAAAGUACCCCGGAAGGGGAGUGAAAGAGAACUUGAAACCGUGUGCUUACAAGUAGUCAGAGCCCGUUAAUGGGUGAUGGCGUGCCUUUUGUAGAAUGAACCGGCGAGUUACGAUCUGAUGCAAGGUUAAGCAGAAAAUGUGGAGCCGUAGCGAAAGCGAGUCUGAAUAGGGCGAAUGAGUAUUUGGUCGUAGACCCGAAACCAGGUGAUCUACCCUUGGUCAGGUUGAAGUUCAGGUAACACUGAAUGGAGGACCGAACCGACUUACGUUGAAAAGUGAGCGGAUGAACUGAGGGUAGCGGAGAAAUUCCAAUCGAACUUGGAGAUAGCUGGUUCUCUCCGAAAUAGCUUUAGGGCUAGCCUCAAGUGAUGAUUAUUGGAGGUAGAGCACUGUUUGGACGAGGGGCCCCUCUCGGGUUACCGAAUUCAGACAAACUCCGAAUGCCAAAUAAUUUAACUUGGGAGUCAGAAUGUGGGUGAUAAGGUCCAUAUUCGAAAGGGAAACAGCCCAGACCACCAGCUAAGGUCCCAAAAUAUAUGUUAAGUGGAAAAGGAUGUGGCGUUGCCCAGACAACUAGGAUGUUGGCUUAGAAGCAGCCAUCAUUUAAAGAGUGCGUAAUAGCUCACUAGUCGAGUGACACUGCGCCGAAAAUGUACCGGGGCUAAACAUAUUACCGAAGCUGUGGAUUGUCC